AGAAUUUGAUCCUGGUUCAGAUUGAACGCUGGCAGCGUGGAUGAGGCAUGCAAGUCGGACGAAGUAUUUUAGCAAUAAGAUACUUAGUGGCGAAAGGGUUAGUAAUACAUAGACAAUCUGCCUUUAACUUUGGAAUAACGGCUGGAAACGGCCGCUAAUACCGGAUGUGGUGAAGAGAGGCAUCUUUCUUUCAUUAAAGCGGGGGCUCGUAAGACCUCGCGGUUAAAGAAGAGUCUAUGGGAUAUCAGCUAGUUGGUGGGGUAAUGGCCUACCAAGGCUAAGACGUCUAGGCGGAUUGAGAGAUUGACCGCCAACACUGGGACUGAGAUACUGCCCAGACUCCUACGGGAGGCUGCAGUCGAGAAUCUUUCGCAAUGGGCGAAAGCCUGACGAAGCGACGCUGCGUGAGCGAUGAAGGCCUUCGGGUUGUAAAGCUCUUUCGCCUGGGAACAAGAGAAUCCGGAUAACACCCGGAGGAUUUGAGGGUACUAGGUAAAGAAGCACCGGCUAACUCCGUGCCAGCAGCUGCGGUAAUACGGAGGGUGCAAGCGUUAAUCGGAUUUAUUGGGCGUAAAGGGCGCGUAGGCUGAUGAAUAAGUCGGGUGUGAAAUCCUGGGGCUCAACCUCAGGGCGGCACCUGAAACUAUUUGUCUAGAGGGUAGGCGGAGAAAACGGAAUUCCACAAGUAGCGGUGAAAUGCGUAGAUAUGUGGAAGAACACCGGUGGCGAAGGCGGUUUUCUAGCUUACUCCUGACGCUGAGGCGCGAAAGUUAGGGGAUCAAACAGGAUUAGAUACCCUGGUAGUCCUAACCGUAAACUAUGUAUACUUGGUGUAGCUGGUCUCAACCCCAGCUGUGCCGUAGCUAACGCGAUAAGUAUACCGCCUGGGGAGUACACUCGCAAGGGUGAAACUCAAAAGAAUUGACGGGGACCCGCACAAGCAGUGGAGCAUGUGGUUUAAUUCGAUGCAACGCGAAGAACCUUACCUAGGCUUGACAUAUAGUAGACCGCAUCAGAGAUGGUGCUUUCCUUCGGGACUGCUAAACAGGUGCUGCAUGGCUGUCGUCAGCUCGUGCCGUGAGGUGUUGGGUUAAGUCCCGCAACGAGCGCAACCCUUGUCAUUAGUUGCCAACAGGUGAAGCUGGGAACUCUAAUGAGACUGCCUGGGUUAACCAGGAGGAAGGUGAGGAUGACGUCAAGUCAGCAUGGCCCUUAUGCCUAGGGCUACACACGUGCUACAAUGGCCGGUACAGAGGGCAGCCAACCCGUGAGGGGGAGCAAAUCCCAAAAAACCGGCCCCAGUUCAGAUUGUAGUCUGCAACUCGACUACAUGAAGUUGGAAUUGCUAGUAAUGGCGUGUCAGCUAUAACGCCGUGAAUACGUUCCCGGGUCUUGUACACACCGCCCGUCACAUCAUGGGAGUUGGUUUUACCCGACGUCGCUGACUUAACCGCAAGGAGAGAAGCGCCUAAGGUGAGGCCGAUGACUGGGAUGAAGUCGUAACAAGGUAGCCCUACCGGAAGGUGGGGCUGGAUCACCU
rnacentral:rRNA from 1 species